rnacentral:rRNA from 1 species
AACGAACGCUGGCGGCGCGUCUUAAGCAUGCAAGUCGAGCGGCAAGCGGUAGCAAUAUCGCCUAGAGCGGCGGACUGGUGAGUAACACGUGGGUGAUCUACCUUCUGGAUGGGGAUAGCCUGUGGAAACACAGGAUAAUACCGAAUACGUUGGCAGGGUUGCGGCCUUGCCAGGAAAGGUCCGUUUGGACCGCCGGAAGAUGAGCCUGCGGCUGAUUAGCUUGUUGGCGGGGUAAUGGCCCACCAAGGCGAUGAUCAGUAGCCGGACUGAGAGGUUGAACGUCCACAUUGGGACUGAGAUACGGCCCAAACUCCUACGGGAGGCAGCAGCUAAGAAUAUUCCGCAAUGGACGAAAGUCUGACGGAGCGACGCCGCGUGGAUGACGAAGGCCGAAAGGUUGUAAAAUCCUUUUGCUGGUGAAGAAUAAGUCUGGGAGGAAAUGCCCGGAUGAUGACAUGAACCGGUGAAUAAGCCCCGGCAAACUACGUGCCAGCAGCCGCGGUAAAAC